rnacentral:rRNA from 1 species
UACGUAGGGUGCAAGCGUUUGUCCGGAAUUAUUGGGCGUAAAGAGCUCGUAGCGGUCUGUUGCGUCCGCUGUGAAAACUCGGGGCUUAACCCCGAGCCUGCAGUGGAUACGGGCAGACUAGAGGUAGGUAGGGGAGAAUGGAAUUCCCGGUGUAGCGGUGAAAUGCGCAGAUAUCAGGAGGAACACCGGUGGCGAAGGCGGGUCUCUGGGCGAAGCUGACUCUGAGGAGCGAAAGCUGGGAGCAAACAGG